AUUGAACGCUGGCGGCAGGCUUAACACAUGCAAGUCGAGCGGUAGCACAAGAGAGCUUGCUCUCUGGGUGACGAGCGGCGGACGGGUGAGUAAUGUCUGGGAAACUGCCUGAUGGAGGGGGAUAACUACUGGAAACGGUAGCUAAUACCGCAUAACGUCGCAAGACCAAAGAGGGGGACCUUCGGGCCUCUUGCCAUCAGAUGUGCCCAGAUGGGAUUAGCUAGUAGGUGGGGUAAUGGCUCACCUAGGCGACGAUCCCUAGCUGGUCUGAGAGGAUGACCAGCCACACUGGAACUGAGACACGGUCCAGACCCCUACGGGAGGCAGCAGUGGGGAAUAUUGCACAAUGGGCGCAAGCCUGAUGCAGCCAUGCCGCGUGUGUGAAGAAGGCCUUCGGGUUGUAAAGCACUUUCAGCGAGGAGGAAGGUGGUGAACUUAAUACGUUCAUCAAUUGACGUUACUCGCAGAAGAAGCACCGGCUAACUCCGUG
rnacentral:rRNA from 1 species